AUUGAACGCUGGCGGCAUGCUCUACACAUGCAAGUCGAACGGUAACAGGCCGCAAGGUGCUGACGAGUGGCGAACGGGUGAGUAAUGCAUCGGAACGUGCCCAGCCGUGGGGGAUAACUACUCGAAAGAGUAGCUAAUACCGCAUACGAUCUAUGGAUGAAAGCGGGGGACCGUAAGGCCUCGCGCGAUUGGAGCGGCCGAUGUCAGAUUAGGUAGUUGGUGGGGUAAAGGCUCACCAAGCCAACGAUCUGUAGCUGGUCUGAGAGGACGACCAGCCACACUGGGACUGAGACACGGCCCAGACUCCUACGGGAGGCAGCAGUGGGGAAUUUUGGACAAUGGGCGCAAGCCUGAUCCAGCAAUGCCGCGUGCAGGAAGAAGGCCUUCGGGUUGUAAACUGCUUUUGUACGGAACGAAACGGCUCUGGUUAAUACCCGGGGCUAAUGACGGUACCGUAAGAAUAAGCACCGGCUAACUACGUG
rnacentral:rRNA from 1 species